UACGUAGGGUGCAAGCGUUGUCCGGAAUUAUUGGGCGUAAAGAGCUCGUAGGCGGUUUGUUGCGUCGGCUGUGAAAUCCUGAGGCUCAACCUCGGGUCUGCAGUCGAUACGAGCAAACUAGAGUGUUGCAGGGGAGACUGGAAUUCCUGGUGUAGCGGUGGAAUGCGCAGAUAUCAGGAGGAACACCGAUGGCGAAGGCAGAUCUCUGGGCCGUAACUGACGCUGAGGAGCGAAAGCAUGGGGAGCGAACAGG
rnacentral:rRNA from 1 species